GAUGAAGAACGUAGCGAAAUGCGAUAAGUAAUGUGAAUUGCAGAAUUCAGUGGAUCAUCGAAUCUUUGAACGCACAUUGCGCCCGCCAGUAUUCUGGCGGGCAUGCCUGUUCGAGCGUCAUUUCAACCCUCAAGACCCCUUCGGGGGACUUGGUGUUGGGGACCGGCACAGGGGCCUGCCUGCUUGUCUUGCAGCGCCCUCGCCGCCCCCGAAAUGAAUUGGCGGCCUCGUCGCGGCCUCCCCUGCGUAGUAGCACAACCUCGCAACGGGAACGUGACGGCGGCCACUGCCGUAAAACAACCCCAAUUUUAUUAGAGUUGACCUCGAAUCAGGUAGGAAUACCCGCUGAACUUAAGCAUAUCAAUAAGCGGAGGA
rnacentral:misc_RNA from 1 species